rnacentral:rRNA from 1 species
GGAAUCUUAGACAAUGGGGGAAACCCUGAUCUAGCCAUGCCGCGUGAGUGACGAAGGCCUUAGGGUCGUAAAGCUCUUUCGCCAGGGAAGAUAAUGACGGUACCUGGUAAAGAAGUCGCGGCUAACUCCGUGCCAGCAGCCGCGGUAAUACGGAGGGGACUCGCGUUGUGCGGAAUUACUGGGCGUAAAGGGCGCGUAGGCGGAUUAGUCAGUCAGAGGUGAAAUCCCAGGGCUCAACCCUGGAACUGCCUUUGAUACUGCUAGUCUUGAGUUCGAGAGAGGUGAGUGGAAUUCCGAGUGUAGAGGUGAAAUUCGUAGACAUUCAGAGGAACACCAGUGGCGAAGGCGGCUCACUGGCUCGAUACUGACGCUGAGGUGCGAAAGCGUGGGGAGCAGAC